rnacentral:rRNA from 1 species
AAAAAAGGUAAGCUACUAAGAGCGAAUGGUGGAUGCCUUGACUGGUAAAGGCGAUGAAGGACGUACUAGACUGCGAUAAGCUACGGGGAGCUGUCAAGAAGCUUUGAUCCGUAGAUUUCCGAAUGGGGCAACCCAAUGUAUAGAGAUAUACAUUACCUAUAUAGGAGCGAACGAGGGGAAUUGAAACAUCUUAGUACCCUCAGGAAAAGAAAUCAAUAGAGAUUGCGUCAGUAGCGGCGAGCGAAAGCGCAAGAGGGCAAACCCAGUGCUUGCACUGGGGGUUGUAGGACUGCAAUGUGCAAGAGGUAAGUUUAGCAGAACAUUCUGGAAAGUAUAACCAUAGAGGGUGAUAGUCCCGUAUGCGAAAAACAAACCUUAGCUAGCAGUAUCCUGAGUAGGGCGGGACACGAGGAAUCCUGUCUGAAUCUGGGUCGACCACGAUCCAACCCUAAAUACUAAUACCAGAUCGAUAGUGCACAAGUACCGUGAGGGAAAGGUGAAAAGAACUGAGGUGAUCAGAGUGAAAUAGAACCUGAAACCAUUUGCUUACAAUCAUUCAGAGCCCUAUGUAGCAAUACAGGGUGAUGGACUGCCUUUUGCAUAAUGAGCCUGCGAGUUGUGGUGUCUGGCAAGGUUAAGCAAACGCGAAGCCGUAGCGAAAGCGAGUCUGAAUAGGGCGCUUAGUCAGAUGCUGCAGACCCGAAACGAAGUGAUCUAUCCAUGAGCAAGUUGAAGCUAGUGUAAGAACUAGUGGAGGACUGAACCCAUAGGCGUUGAAAAGCCCCGGGAUGACUUGUGGAUAGGGGUGAAAGGCCAAUCAAACUUCGUGAUAGCUGGUUCUCUCCGAAAUAUAUUUAGGUAUAGCGUUGUGUCGUAAUAUAAGGGGGUAGAGCACUGAAUGGGCUAGGGCAUACACCAAUGUACCAAACCCUAUCAAACUCCGAAUACCUUAUAUGUAAUCACAGCAGUCAGGCGGCGAGUGAUAAAAUCCGUCGUCAAGAGGGAAACAACCCAGACUACCAGCUAAGGUCCCUAAAUCUUACUUAAGUGGAAAACGAUGUGAAGUUACUUAAACAACCAGGAGGUUGGCUUAGAAGCAGCCAUCCUUUAAAGAAAGCGUAAUAGCUCACUGGUCUAGUGAUUUUGCGCGGAAAAUAUAACGGGGCUAAAGUAAGUACCGAAGCU